AAAAACAUCGCCUCCUGCAUAAUAACUCAACGUAUAGGAGGUCCUGCCUGCCCAGUGACAACUAGUUAAACGGCCGCGGUAUUUUGACCGUGCUAAGGUAGCGCAAUCACUUGUCUUUUAAAUGAGGACCUGUAUGAAUGGCGGAACGAGGGCUUAACUGUCUCCUUUUCCUAGUCAAUGAAAUUGAUCUACCCGUGCAGAAGCGGGUAUACUAAUACAAGACGAGAAGACCCUUUGGAGCUUAAGAUAAAAGGCCAACUAUGUCAAAGGCCCAAAUAAACUAAGCCAAACAAAACAGCCAACUGGCCAAUAUCUUCGGUUGGGGCGACCGCGGGGGAAAACAAAGCCCCCACGUGGAACGGGGAAUAUACCCUAAAACCAAGAGAGACAUCUCUAAGUCACAGAACAUCUGACCAAAAGAUCCGGCCAACCAAGCCGAUCAACGGACCAAGUUACCCUAGGGAUAACAGCGCAAUCCCCUCCAAGAGUUCAUAUCGACAAGGGGGUUUACGACCUCGAUGUUGGAUCAGGACAUCCUAAUGGUGCAGCCGCUAUUAAGGGUUCGUUUGUUCAACGAUUAAAGUCCUACGUGAUCUGAG
rnacentral:rRNA from 2 species